ensembl:misc_RNA Metazoa_SRP Metazoan signal recognition particle RNA
GCCAGGCAUGGUGGCGCGUGCCUGUAAUCCCAGCUAUUUGGGAGGCUGAGACAGGAGAAUUGCUUGAACCCGGGAGGCGGAGGUUGCAGUGAGCUGAGAUAGUGCCACUGCACUCCAGCCUGGGCAGCAGAGCAAGACUCUGUCUCAA